CGGUUUUCUCUGUGAUCUACAGA
rnacentral:miRNA from 1 species